rnacentral:rRNA from 1 species
UACGUAGGGUCCGAGCGUUGUCCGGAAUUACUGGGCGUAAAGAGCUCGUAGGUGGUUUGUCGCGUUGUUCGUGAAAACUCACAGCUCAACUGUGGGCGUGCAGGCGAUACGGGCAGACUUGAGUACUGCAGGGGAGACUGGAAUUCCUGGUGUAGCGGUGGAAUGCGCAGAUAUCAGGAGGAACACCGGUGGCGAAGGCGGGUCUCUGGGCAGUAACUGACGCUGAGGAGCGAAAGCGUGGGGAGCGAACAGG